AGGAGAACAAUCAGCCCAUUGCCUCAGUCCGGCGUGAUCAUCAUAAUCAUCAUCAUACUUCGUGAGUUAUCAUGUAUACUAGUUGAACUAUGGAGCGCGUGGAUAAACGCAAAAGGGACCUAAAAUCAAGGCUUUACAAACUAUUAAAAUGGCAAGAACAUGCGACAUUCAUUCACUAACAUGAUCUGUUAGUGUGCUUAUUUUUUAACUUUAUGAAAAUCUUCCGAAACAAUAUGUAUUUAUUGAAGUGAAAUAUAACAGAUGUGUUUGGUGGUGAGCGCGCGUGCUUGUUCAUUCAUGAAUGAACUUGGUGUAGGUGAAGCGCGUGAGCUGCAGUAAACAGUGGGGUGGGGCGAGUGUACGCUUGGCUCGUGCGUAACGGUGCACGAUACGCCCUGAACACCUACAUGAGGCGAACAGGGCGCGCGCAGAGGACUGAUUGAACGAGUACUUUUCAGGGACUCGUCACGAGAACCUCAUCCGGUUUCCGACUGUGAGAAGGGAAAAGAGUUGCAUUUCCAGUUAGUGAGUCGAGAGAUGGAGUUCUGCAACUUUUAAGGAGCUCGCCGCGCGCGAGUGUAAGAGAGAGACAGAGCGCGCGAGUGUAGAAGAGACAGAGCGCGCGCUCGCGACAGGAGACAGGUUAAGCUCGGCGAUGCCUUCUCUGCAUCAUGGCGCCGUGUUCAUUGGGGUCUUCCUCAUCGUCACAGGCGGCUCGACCGCCUUCUUGACGUCCAGCCAGAGCAGACUGCAGGCGUUCAGCCUGUGCUGCGUGGUGCUAGGUGCAGUCAUGCUCAUCCUUGGCCUCUUUUGGGCCAUGAACGGAAAGAGCCGCCAGGGCUCCUACACUAAUGAAUACACGCACGACUACGGGCACGUGCUGUUCAGCCCACCACCCGGGAGCCACUUCCCGGAGUCCCAGUCCGUCAUCUUGCACAGAACGUUGGAAAGGCAGAGACGAGGGCUGUACGGAGACGAUUUUGACUACCCUCCCAUGGAGCCAACAUGUUUCAGCCCAGCUGCUCGAGGGCCACCACCCCACUGGGAGAUGGAACCUCCACCUCCGUACGAAGUGGCCAUCAAAACGACAUGCAGCUCCACGAACAUGCGACGCAGUUACUCAGAUACACUGUUGCCCACUGAACCGCUCUUCAGUCGCUCCCGCGAGAUCAGCUUUGAAGUGUAAAGGUGCAUUCACACAUACAGAGACUCGCAGCGACAAGGCGACCGGAGAUGUUCAUUUUCAACGAGAGCUGGCGACAUGAGCAACGGCGACCUUUGGCGACCGGGUGUAGGCGUGUCCAGCAACAUGGCAAAGUUGAGAAAGGUUUAACUUUAUGCAACUUUGGAGAGACUUGGUGUAGCGACUGCCAAUGGGAGUGAAGACAGUAGAGUGCAUGUGAUCUGUAGCCACCCUUGCGUACCAGCAGAAGCAACGCCAUUGUGACAGUAGCCAAUUAGCUUAGUUUAAGAUCUUAGCGGGUUUAAAGCAAAAAAAUAAAAGAAAUAAUAAUGAAACACUCACUUUUUGUUGCAAACGAGCAAAAUCCCAGUGUAGCUCCUACCUUGGGUGAAGUAUCCGGUUUGUCGCUGCUUCGGCACCGGGAACGAGCAGCACCAAGCCGGACACUUCACCCAGGAAACACAGAGGCCACGGCCGAAGAGCUGCUGUCCGGCUCCCGGUCACCAUCGAACAUAUAGUGAAUAACACACCGAUGGUGACGCUCACUUACUGAGAAAGGAGCUACACCGGGAUUUUGCUCAAUUGCAACAAAAAGGGAGUGUGUUUCAUUAUUAUUAUUAUUAUUUUGCUUUAAAUGCGCUAAGGCUAUAAGCUAAGCUAAGCUAAUUGGAGCUUGCACUUUUGCCGCAGAGAGAUGGCAGCAAUGGCAAAGAGCACACACUGCUUCUUCUUCAUCUCGGAUGCAUAUAUACCCUGGUGAAUUUUAUAUAAGAUCGCUCUCCCUCCACAAUGUUUAAUUUUAGCAGCAACAAAACUGGUUUGUUGUCAAAAUUGGAAUGCUAGUUGCACCACCCACUGAUGCUACUACUGCAACCGGUAGUAGGAAUGCCUACCUGCGACUUCAUAGUACAGUGACUUGCAGCGAUAAAAUUGCUGUAUGUGUGAAUGCACCUUAAGGCUUGUGCUGUCAACAAGCCAUUAGGUUGCACCCAUUUGCUGCAACCACCAACUAGUGCGGAUCAUGGCUUGCCCAGGGAACCCACACUCCAAGUGUGCUUUAUAAACCAUUAGUAUUGAAGCUACUUAAUUUUCAUCUCUGAUCACAAUGAGUUCCAUUUUGAAUAUGGUCAAAAGGGAAAUUCUGUAACCUUAUAAAAUGGUAACGUCCCUAGGACUGUUUAGUGUCUGCUGUUCCCUGCUGUGAAGUGUGUUCUUUUGUAAUUAUAUUCAGAAGGUAUAGUUACCACUGAUGGAAAAACGCCUGAUCUCGCUCAGUAUUUUCACGACAGCCACUGUCCUUUCUCCAUGCAGCUACUGCAUUUUCUCUCCAUACAUGUCACUGACAUUACACAAAUUACCAACUAUAUACUACAAAAAUGUUCUUCUACCCAGUUACGUAUUCCUCACAAGCAUGAAUCACAAUCACUUCUUGACUGGUUUGGCGUGCAGAUGAGAUUUGGUGACAGUACUGUCUGCUUGUGAAUAUCACAAAAAUCGCAGCUCCUGGACCCAUAAAUAUGUACAUAAAGUCACUUGCACAAUCCGAGCUCAUCGAUGCAAGCACCAGCGUAUGAGAAGAAAACAGAGAAAAGUUCCGGAUAGAUAUGCAAAGCUACUAUUUUCUCCUGCGCACAGUGUUUUGAGAGGGAAAAAUCGGUGUCGGCGUCUUCCACAGUAAGCCAGACACGGAUGCAGACGGAGUUAUAGGAAGUGACACCAGAUUAAAACUAUUUCUCGACCAAAAGCACAUCGACUGUGGCAAUAGUGAAAUUUAACUGCUGAAAUAUUUUAAUCAAUGUACUCCUGCUUGUUGCAUUGGACUGACUGCUAACAUGAGUGGCAAGACCCAUAACGAUGUCAUCAGGGCGCUUACAAAGAACUGACAGGAUGUGUCUUACAGGAAACACUUAAAUGCAACAGCAACCCAGAGCAUUAUUGGUUCAUCACUGGUGACCUUUGUGUCCCGUAGAGGAAACUGACAGUCUAAGAAGCAUUGAUUUGUGAUGUAAUGCAAGUGUAGAGUGCCUCUCUGAUGUGAUCGCAAAUGACCACAUUGCAUUAGCAGGUUUAAUAUUUCCUUGGACUCCUCUUGUUUGUAACAUUAUAAAUCAUGGCAUUUUCAUUGAUUGCUUUCUCUGCCUCAACCAAAGUGACAUUAAAAUUAUGUGCCUCCAUUAAAUACAGUUCAGGGCCUUUAACUAUAGGUACUUUGCACUAUACGUUAUAGAAUAUGCACGAUGUACGUGGCUUACGUGCAUGUACCCAAAGAUUCUAUUACAUUUUUGGAACAAAAUGUAUAGUGUUUUCAUUUGUUUUUGAAAAUUAACAAAUAAAGAUAUUUAAAAAGGAAUUAAGUAUUGUAAUUUAAAAUACACCUUAAAAUAUGAUGUUUUUGAUUACUUUAUUACACACACCUCCUGAUCACAUUUACAAAUUGCAUGUUUUGUACUAAUAGACCAUCCAUCUAUCCAUUUUCUGUACCACUUAUCCUUCAGGGUCACGGGGAACCUGGAGCCUACCCCAGGGAGCAGGAGGCACAAGGUGGAGUACAGUCUAGACAGGGUGCCAAUCCAUCGCAGGGCACAAUCACAUACACAUUCAUACACUACAGAUACUUUGGACAUGCCAAUCAGCCUACUAUGUAUGUGUUUGGACUGGGGGAGGAAACCCUCGCAGUAUGGGGAGAACUUGCAAACUCUGCACACCCAGG
ensembl:lncRNA